rnacentral:lncRNA from 1 species
CCCAGUGAGGAAAAGAAGUAUUAAACGCUAUUGUUAUUAAAGAAACCAAAGAUCGUGAUGCUUGGAAGGUGAUUCUAAGACUCGAGAUAAUGGACUUCUGGCCAAGCCAACCCAUGGUGACAUCGUCAGGUUUGCGCCUCCACUGGUGAUCAAGGAGGAUGAGAUUCGAGAGUCCAGUGAAAUCAUUAACAAGACCAUCUUGUCUUU